rnacentral:rRNA from 1 species
GUGUCAGCAGCCGCGGUAAUACGUAGGUGGCAAGCGAUACUCGGAAUCACUAGGCGUAAAGCGCAGGUAGGCGGUUCGGUAAGUCUUUUGUGAAAGCUCCUGGCUCAACUGGGAGAGGUCAAGGGAAACUACCGGGCUAGAGUGUGGUAGGGGAUACUGGAAUUCCUGGUGUAGCGGUGAAAUGCGUAGAUAUCAGGAGGAAUACCUAUGGCGAAAGCAGGUAUCUGGGCCAUCACUGACGCUGAGCUGCGAAAGCUAGGGGAGCAAACAGGAUUAGAUACCCUGGUAGUCCUAGCCCUAAACGAUGCUCAUUAGAUGUGGGAGGUAUCGACCCCUUCCGCGUCGCAGCUAACGCAUUAAAUGAGCCGCCUGGGGAGUACGGCCGCAAGGUUGAA